GGAUAUAGCUCAGUGGUAGAGAAUGUCUGCCUAGCAUGCAUAAGGUCCUGGUUCAAUUCCAAGUGCCA
rnacentral:tRNA from 1 species